UGCAGUCGAACGGCAGCACGGGGGCAACCCUGGUGGCGAGUGGCGAACGGGUGAGUAAUACAUCGGAACGUGCCCUGUAGUGGGGGAUAGCCCGGCGAAAGCCGGAUUAAUACCGCAUACGACCUACGGGUGAAAGCGGGGGACCGCAAGGCCUCGCGCUACUGGAGCGGCCGAUGCCCGAUUAGCUAGUUGGUGAGGUAAAGGCUCACCAAGGCGACGAUCGGUAGCUGGUCUGAGAGGACGACCAGCCACACUGGGACUGAGACACGGCCCAGACUCCUACGGGAGGCAGCAGUGGGGAAUUUUGGACAAUGGGCGCAAGCCUGAUCCAGCCAUGCCGCGUGCGGGAAGAAGGCCUUCGGGUUGUAAACCGCUUUUGGCAGGAACGAAACGGCGCGGGUGAAUAUCCCGCGCUAAUGACGGUACCUGCAGAAUAAGCACCGGCUAACUACGUGCCAGCAGCCGCGGUAAUACGUAGGGUGCGAGCGUUAAUCGGAAUUACUGGGCGUAAAGCGUACGCAGGCGGCUAUGCAAGACAGGUGUGAAAUCCCCGGGCUUAACCUGGGAACUGCAUUUGUGACUGCAUGGCUAGAGUCCGUUAGAGGGGGGUGGAAUUCCACGUGUAGCAGUGAAAUGCGUAGAGAUGUGGUGGAACACCGAUGGCGAAGGCAGCCCCCUGGGAUGAGACUGACGCUCAUGUACGAAAGCGCGGGGAGCAAACAGGAUUAGAUACCCUGGUAGUCCACGCCCUAAACGAUGUCGACUAGUUGUCGGGUCUUUACAGACUUGGUAACGCAGCUAACGCGUGAAGUCGACCGCCUGGGGAGUACGGUCGCAAGAUAAAACUCAAAGGAAUUGACGGGGACCCGCACAAGCGGUGGAUGAUGUGGAUUAAUUCGAUGCAACGCGAAAAACCUUACCUACCCUUGAC
rnacentral:rRNA from 1 species